rnacentral:rRNA from 1 species
UCGAGAAUAUUCGACAAUGGGCGAAAGCCUGAUCGAGCGACGCCGCGUGCAGGAUGAAGAUCUUAGGAUUGUAAACUGCUUUUCCAUGGGACGAAGCCCGAUCCUUCGGGGUUGGGUGUGACGGUACCGUGGGAAUAAGUGGCUGCAAACUUCGUGCCAGCAGCCGCGGUAAUACGAAGGCCACAAGCGUUAUCCGGAUUUAUUGGGCGUAAAGGGCGCGUAGGAGGUCUGGUGUGUCUUUGGUUAAAUGUCGGAGCUUAACUCCGUCGCUGCCAGGGAAACUGCCAAACUUGAGGGCGUUAGAGGCAGAUGGAACACAUGGUGUAGGGGUGAAAUCCGUUGAUAUCAUGUGGAACACCAAAGGCGAAGGCAUUCUGCUGGGACGUUCCUGACUCUGAGGCGCGAAAGCGUGGGGAGCAAAAAGG